AGAGUAUAACAGCUGAUCGCAUGAGAAAUCAUGAGGAAAGUCCGUGCUCCAUUAAAGAAUGCUGGAUAACGUCCAGUGGGGGCGCCCCUAAGGCUAGUGCAACAGAGAGAUACCGCCAAUUUAUUGGUAAGGGUGGAAAGGCGAGGUAAGAGCUCACCAGCGAAAUAGGUGACUAUUUUGGCUAUGUAAACCCCAUUCGGAGCAAAACCAAAUUGGGUCUUAAGACCAAAUGGUAGGUUGCUUGAGCUUAUUGGUAACAGUAAGCCUAGAUUGAUGAUUGGCUAAUACAGAACACGGCUUAUAGUUAUACUCUAGAU
rnacentral:RNase_P_RNA from 1 species